rnacentral:tmRNA from 1 species
ACUGGUUUCGACGGGGGAAGCGGUGGCAGAAGAAGCGAGUCGGGGUUGCACUAGCCCGCAAAACGGUGCGCAAAAGUUAAACGCAAACGAAAAUUACGCUUUAGCUGCUUAAUUGCAGCCUAACCUCUUACCUUCUGUGCCUGGGGUGAGGGAUAAGAGGUCAUAAUACCAGGCUACUCUAGAGCCAUUGUCUCCUAACUCUAGGGAAAAUUAAGGAGACUGGCCUGAAGGAAUCCCGCCUGUAGGAGUCCUGAAGGCAAGAAGGAAAAUACAGGCUGCACUCGGAGAAGCUUCUGUGGUCGGUCCUUCGGACAGGGGUUCGAUUCA